UUCCCACGCUGUGAGCCGCUCCCCUCCCCAGGCCCCGCCGCCAUGCUGUCCCUGCCUCGGAGCAGCCAACCGUGGACUGAACCCUCCUUAAACUGAGGGGACCCGCUGAUAUCUAAAGGGGGCAAAUCACCAACAAUCUUUCCCACAUGAUUGAGAAGUAGGAUGAAAACUCAGAUGUCGUACCUGGACAAGUCCACCACAUUUGCCAAGAGUUGACCUCCAAGAACAAAAUUUCCUUGAAGUUGGGGAGCAUAUACCAUACAUCAUUCUAUCUCCAUGGUGCUGAAGCGAAGGGAUUCAGCUGUGUCCUCUAAGAACUGAGCAGCAGUCAUCUACCCAGAAGUUCAGCGAACUCUGCAGUGAAAUAUGGAUGCCCAGGGCCAGUUUUCUAGUUGUGCAGUUCUGAGAAAUGUAAGCAACUUUUUGGCCUGAUGUCAGAGUCCACCAAGAGGUGGAAAGCACUGAGGAUUGAACUAAGGGCCUUUACACUGAGCUCCAUCCCCAGCUCUUUUUAUUUUGAGGUGGGGCCUCCUUAAGUCACCAAGUUGCCCAGGCUGGACUUGAGCCUGUGGCCCUCCUGGCUCAGCCUCCCAGGUUGCUGGGAUCACAGGAGCAUGACAGCACACCCAGCUCAUGUCAGGUUUUGAGAAAGAACUUCCUCCAUGUGUGGAGACGCAGUUCCCGAGCCUGGGUGAAGGUGUCCACACUGAUUGUGCAUCCCUGGUCUCCGCCGCCAUAGGCCGGGCGGACAGAUGCUGCCUUGCCCGGCCAUGACGCCACUCACUGUGGAAGUGAGGUGUGGGUGUGUGCUAGAAACCACGGCCCGGAGGGAGGCUGCUGUCAGCACCCAGUUCCCGUAAGGACUGCAGUUCCCUUCGCACCAAAUCUUACACUUUUAUCAAGAGCAUCUCUUUGUGCAGCAAGGCAUGUAUCAUUGGUUAAUUAAUGCUGCCAGCACGGCACUCUGCUAAAUGACUGUUUAGCCAAGAGUGGAAUAAAAU
rnacentral:lncRNA from 1 species